rnacentral:rRNA from 1 species
ACAUGCAAGUCGAGCGGUAACAUUUCUAGCUUGCUAGAAGAUGACGAGCGGCGGACGGGUGAGUAAUACUUAGGAAUCUACCUAGUAGUGGGGGAUAGCUCGGGGAAACUCGAAUUAAUACCGCAUACGACCUACGGGAGAAAGGGGGCAACUUGUUGCUCUCGCUAUUAGAUGAGCCUAAGUCGGAUUAGCUAGAUGGUGGGGUAAAGGCCUACCAUGGCGACGAUCUGUAGCUGGUCUGAGAGGAUGAUCAGCCACACCGGGACUGAGACACGGCCCGGACUCCUACGGGAGGCAGCAGUGGGGAAUAUUGGACAAUGGGGGAAACCCUGAUCCAGCCAUGCCGCGUGUGUGAAGAAGGCCUUUUGGUUGUAAAGCACUUUAAGCAGUGAAGAAGACUCUUCGGUUAAUACCCGGAGACGAUGACAUUAGCUGCAGAAUAAGCACCGGCUAACUCUGUGCCAGCAGCCGCGGUAAUACAGAGGGUGCAAGCGUUAAUCGGAAUUACUGGGCGUAAAGCGAGCGUAGGUGGCUUGAUAAGUCAGAUGUGAAAUCCCCGGGCUUAACCUGGGAACUGCAUCUGAUACUGUCAGGCUAGAGUAGGUGAGAGGAAGGUAGAAUUCCAGGUGUAGCGGUGAAAUGCGUAGAGAUCUGGAGGAAUACCGAUGGCGAAGGCAGCCUUCUGGCAUCAUACUGACCUGACUGAGGCUCGAAAGCGUGGGUAGCAAACAGGAUUAGAUACCCUGGUAGUCCACGCCGUAAAACGAUGUCUACUAGUCGUUGGGUCCCUUGAGGACUUAGUGACGCAGCUAACGCAAUAAGUAGACCGCCUGGGGAGUACGGCCGCAAGGUUAAAACUCAAAUGAAUUGACGGGGGCCCGCACAAGCGGUGGAGCAUGUGGUUUAAUUCGAUGCAACGCGAAGAACCUUACCUGGUCUUGACAUAUCUAGAAUCCUGCAGAGAUGCGGGAGUGCCUUCGGGAAUUAGAAUACAGGUGCUGCAUGGCUGUAGUCAGCUCGUGUCGUGAGAUGUUGGGUUAAGUCCCGCAACGAGCGCAACCCUUGUCCUUAGUUACCAGCGGGUUAAGCCGGGAACUUUAAGGAUACUGCCAGUGACAAACUGGAGGAAGGCGGGGACGACGUCAAGUCAUCAUGGCCCUUACGACCAGGGCUACACACGUGGACAAUUGUAGGUACAGAGGGCAGCUACA